GCACUUCACUUGUGGAAUUAAUAUUAGAAUGUUAGGGUUUGUAAUCCAAGUGAGAAUAUAUGCAUGUAUAUAUUUUGUAAUCCAAGUGAGAAUAUUUUGUAAUCCAAGUGAGAAUAUACAAAUGUAUAGUACAUGUAUAUAUUUUGUGUAUAUAUUUUGUAAUCCAAGUGAGAAUAGUUUGUAAUCCAAGUGAGAAUAUACAAAUGUAUAUAUUCUCACUUGGAUUACAAACCCUAACAUUCCAAUUUUCCACCAAGUGAAGUGCAAGAAUCCAAAUUAUUGAAGUCCACCUUAUCACAACCCACACACCCGAUUACCUAAAUAUACAUGAACUUACGGUUACAGCUCAACAGCUGGCCUCUGUAGCUCAGCUGGUUAAAGCGCUGCACCGGAAUCGCAGGGCCGUAAGUUCAAUUCCUACCAGAGGACCUUUUGCUGCAUUUUUCGCAGUUGUUCCUGGUUAGGUCUUAAAAUGUAUGUAUUCUCACUUGGAUUACAAACCCUAACAUUCUAAUAUUAAUUCCAACAAGUGAAGUGCAAGAAUCCAAAUUAUUGAAAUCUACCUUAUCAUAACCCGCACACCCGAUUACCUUAAUAUACAUGAACUUAUGGUUAAAACUCAACAGCUGGGGCCUCUGUAGCUCAGUUGGUUAGAGCGCUGCACCGGAAUCGCAGGGCCGUAGGUUCAAU